GGCGCGACCCCCCCUCCCGCCGUCUCCCCCGGUUCCAGUUCUGCGCCUGCGCGGAGCCGUCUCCCCCCCCCCCCCCCCGCAAUGGCGGCUGUGGGGGGCGGGGCCUGCCCGGGGGGCGGGGCCGCGCUGGAGGAGGAGUGCGAGGUGGUGCGCGUGCGCGUCAAGAAGAGCGAGGGGCUGCAGCCGCCCGAGUUCCGCUCCUUCGCCGUGGACCCGCAGAUCACAUCCCUGGACGUGCUGCAGCACAUCCUGGCCCGCGCCUUUGACCUGCAGGGGAAGAAGAGCUUCUCCAUCAGCUUUGCCGCCCGCGACCCCCAGGGCCAGGAGAGCUUCGUUCCGCUGCUGAGCGAUGGGGACUUGGCGGCCGCCUUCGCCUGCGCCCGGCCCGCGCUGCGCCUGCGCCUCGACGUGCGGCCCCCGGCUGAGAGCCCGCUGCUGGAGGACUGGGACAUCAUCAGCCCCCGGGAGGUGGCGGCGGUGGAGCCGCUCCCUGAGCGCCGCUCGCUGCUGGCUGCGGCUCUGCCCUUCACCCAGGCCCUGCUGGCGCAGGUUGGCCGGACGCUGGCCCGGGCUCAGGCCGCCCUGGCAUGGCCUGAGGGGUCCCCCCCCCUCACCCCCGCUGCCGCCCCCCCCCUUGUGCCCCACUGAGCGAUGCCGACCUCCGCACGUACCUGGGCCCCGGCGGGCGGCUGCUGCGGCCCCACGACCUGCGGCUCCACGUCUACCACGGCGGCGUCGAGCCUGGCCUGCGCAAGGUGGUGUGGCGAUACCUGCUGAACGUCUUCCCGGCGGGGCUCUCGGGGCAGGAGCGCUUGGCUCACCUGCGCCACAAGGCGGGCGAGUACGCGGCGCUGAAGGCGGCGCUGGCGGCGCGGGCGGCCCCGGCCGAGCUGGCGCUGGUGGCGGCCGCCGUGCGCAAGGACGUGGUGCGCACCGACCGCGGGCACCCCUACUUCGGCGGCCCCGAGGAGGGACACCCGCACUUGGCCGCGCUGCAGGCGCUGCUCACCACCUUCGCGCUGGGCCACCCGC
rnacentral:lncRNA from 1 species